AAAUAAUAGCAAGGUGCUUUAAGGCCACCUUGCAUAACUCGAGCAUCUAUUUGACAUGAUGAAACUAGCUGUAGCAGGUCGUGGAUAUCAGACUUGAGCGAUAACCUACAAAUGCCAAAUAAACUUAGAUGAGUGAAAGAAGUGGUGGAUGGACUCUGCUGGAUUUCUUCAUCUCAGAAGAAAAACAGCUGCGCACACCAACACCGAGGCAGUCAUGUGGAGAAGUUAAACUAAUAUAAUCCAUGAUUCGCUCAACAAAAAGUUAAAUAAAGAACAGGUUGGCCAACUUGGCACACGCCUGGUUUUAUAAUAUAAUUGCUUGCAGCCAGAAAAAUUUGUUUCCAUUCUUCGAGGAGGGAUCUAGUUCUUCCUUGUCCUCCUAAAUUGUUUAUAGAGGCCAUAUAUUGAAUAGAGAUAGUGUUUUGUGAGUCUA